GACCAGUGUAGUUAUAAAAAGUGUAAGUUUGGACUCAGACACAGGCACAUACAGAAGGAAGGCGAUACGAAGACAAAAGAGAAUGUUACCGACAAGCCAAGGAAUGCCUGGAGCUACCAGAAGUUACAACAGAUUCUCCCUCUGAGCCCUCAGAAGGAACUAAUCUGUUCAACAUCUUGAUUUUGGACUUCUGGCCUCCAGAACUGGAUCACAAGAAGCUCUGGGGUCCAGAUUUUACACGGUCGCCCGUCACCCAACCACGUGUGCAAAUACUUGUAUGCAGAUAGAACUCGAGUUUGUCCAAAGACCAAUCAUCUCUGAAUGUCUUCUGCUAAGAAUUUAAUAUAUAUAUAUUUCUAUUUAGCCCUCUAGUCUAAAGCAGUGGUAAAGAAACCAUGAACCAAGUGGGCUAUUGGACAGAGGAGUCCCCACGCUAUAACAGGGAGUAGAGGAGAUACCUGAUUUCUUUGGCUUGUCUUUUCCAGAAGAUGAGGAGCAGAUCACUGGUGAUACAGAAUAUGCAUCAGGGCAACUGUCCUUCAUGAAUGAAGUCUCUGCAUCAUUGGGAGCACUCUCUAUCCCAAGAAGAGAGACUGGAAAGUGCCCAUGAGCUUUUCACAGGCUCCCCAGGAAACGUCACUCAUCAUUCACUUCCUCUUACAACCCAUUAGCCAGUGACUCUCUCAGUAAGAGUUAGACUCAUGAGCAAAGGGCUGUGAAGUGCUGUCCGCCAUAUGCCUGGAAGGGGAGGCUACCCAGAUAUUGGAAAACACGAGUGAUGCCUACCUUCAUCUAUAACAUUGACUGAAAGCGCUGGUCUUAAUCAUUUUUAUAGUAAGACUCCGUACCUAACAGAUGAAAGCCUCUGAUGCUGUGUUUCGACUUCAAGAAGGCCUUGGCUAGUCUUAGACCUUGGCAAUUCCCUACAAGUUGUAGAAAGUGUUUGUGAAGUUCUGAAAAAGAUCCCGAAUUCACAGCUGAAUCAAGGGAGAGUCGACACUGAAAAUAUCAAGUGUUCUAAUUCAGUAACAGAAUUUCUCUCCUUUAAUCCAGGUCUUCUUUAGUUUCUUUCAAUAAUGUUUUAUAAUGUUUUAAAAAAAAUUUUUUAAACAUUUAUUCAUUUUUGAGAGACAGAGACAGAGUGUGAGGCGGGGAGGGGCAGAGAGAGGGGGAGACACAGAAUCCGAAGCAGGGUCCAGGCUCCGAGCCAUCAGCACAGAGCCAGAGGCAGGGCUUGAAAUCACGGACCACAGGAUCAUGACCUGAGCUGAAGUUGGACACCUAACGGACUGAGCCACCCGGGUGCCCCAAUGUUUUAGAAUGUUUUGCACAGAGGUCUUAUACACCUUUUGUUAGAUUUUCCCCUAAAAUUUGGAUAUGUUUAAAUCCUAGUGUAAAUGUUACUUUCAAAGUUUUUUCCAUUUUAUAAAAUCUGUGGUUGAUAGGGGCACCUGGGUGGCUCAGUUGGUUUUAACCAUCCAACUUCGGCUCAGGCAAUGAUCUCGCAGUUCACUAGUUCGAGCCCCACGUCAGGCUCAGAGCCUGAAGCCUGUUUCAGAUUCUGUGUCUGCCAAUCUGCCUCUCCCCCGCUCACACCUGUCUCUCUCUCUCUCUCUCUCUCUCUCUCUCUCUCUCUCUCUCUCUCAAAAAUAAAUAAAACACUAACAACACAGUUAAAAAAAGAAGUUUAGAAUUUGUGGUUGGUAGAUAAAAAUUUCAUUCAUAUUUUGGUGUUGACCUUGUAUCUAGCAACCUUCUGAAACUUCCUUAAAUUCUAAAAACUAUCUGCAGAUUCCCAUGGAUUUUCUAUGUAGUUAAUAAUGUGAUCCACAGAUAAUGAUAAUUGCAUUCCUUCCUUUUUGAUCUUAUGCGUUUUCUUUUAUUUUCUUUCCUUGCCUGUAGGGGACCUCCAAAAUACUGCAGAAUGGAUGUUGUGAGAGUAACCAUAUUUGUACUCUCCACAAUCUCAAAGGGAACAUUUUCAAAGUUUUGAUUUUAAAUGUAUUGGUUGUUAUAGGUCUUUUGUAGCUAUUCUUUACCAGAUUACUUCAGUGUUUGCUUUUUUCUAGUUUUUAAGAUUUUGAAUAACCAAUGGAUAUUGAAUUUUAGCAAAUGCUUUUUUUCCUGUAUGUAUUGAGAUGAAUAGAUGAUUUUCUCCCCUUUGAUCUUAACAGGUGGAAAAUUACAUUGAUUUUCUCAUGAUAAAGCAACAUUUACACCAGCAUCCUGGAAUAAGCCAAAUUUGAACAUGUUGUGUUUCCUUUUUAUAUAUUGUUAGCUUUGACUCGUUAAUAUUCUGUUUAGGAUUUUUCCACAUGUUCGUGAGUAAAAUUGGCCUGUAAUUUUCUUUGCUAUGCUGUUCUUGUUGGGUUUCAAUAUGAAGAUGACUUUAGCCUCACACAAUAAAAUGGAGAGUGUUCUCACUUUUUCUA